AUUGAACGCUGGCGGCAGGCCUAACACAUGCAAGUCGAGCGGAUGAAGGGAGCUUGCUCCUGGAUUCAGCGGCGGACGGGUGAGUAAUGCCUAUGAAUCUGCCUGGUAGUGGGGUAUAACGUCCGGAAACGGGCGCUAAUACCGCAUACGUCCUGAGGGAGAAAGUUGGGGAUCUUCGGACCUCACGCUAUCAGAUGAGCCUAGGUCGGAUUAGCUAGUUGGUGGGGUAAGGGCCUACCAAGGCGACGAUCCGUAACUGGUCUGAGAGGAUGAUCAGUCACACGGGAACUGAGACACGGUCCAGACUCCUACGGGAGGCAGCAGUGGGGAAUAUUGGACAAUGGGCGAAAGCCUGAUCCAGCCAGGCCGCGUGUGUGAAGAAGGUCUUCGGAUUGUAAAGCACUUUAAGUUGGGAGGAAGGGCAGUAAGUUAAUACCUUGCUGUUUUGACGGUACCAACAGAAUAAGCACCGGCUAACUUCGUG
rnacentral:rRNA from 1 species